AUGAGUGCCCUCACAGAAGAUACAUCAUCUGAGUCCCAAGAUAGAUCCUUGUACUUUGAUGAAAACCAAAUCAUAUAUAAUGUGGUUUCUUCCAUAUACAAGAGCACAGUUCAUCAUUUUUGGGUGCAGGUUUUACACCCCCCAAAAGAAAUGUCACUAACUGCUAUGUGGUGCGGUGGACAUGGCUAUGGCUCCUGCUCCAGUGUGCGCCUGAUCCACCUCUUCUUCCCCCUCCCCAACUAUCCUCUUCCAGAACCAGUGCUUCCUCCACACCUGCUCCAUCUGCUCCAUGGGCAGCUGCUUCGUCUCCGGCAGGAAGAAGAAGACGAACAGCGUCAUCACGCACACCCACCCGCCAAACAGGAAGAAGGUGCCGAACUUGAGAUGGCACAGCAUGUUGAGGAACGUCUGCCCGAUCACAAACGUCAUCAGGAAGAUGACCGCAAUCACGACGCUCUGCCCUGCCGACCUGAUCUCCAGCGGGCAGAUCUCUGUUGGCACCAAGUAGGUGAGAGGUCCCCAGGACCAGGCGAACCCUGCCACGAACACGCACAUGAUGACCAGGACCAGGUAUCCGUACUCCUUAUCCAUGACUCCAUGGUCCUUGAACUUCACGGCCAGGAUCGCACCGACAGUGAACUGUGA
rnacentral:rRNA from 1 species